GGUCCGGCUAAUUACGUGCCAGCAGCCGCGGUAAUACGUAAGGACCGAGCGUUGUCCGGAAUCAUUGGGCGUAAAGGGUACGUAGGCGGCUAAUUAAGUUAGGAGUGAAAAGCCAUAGCUCAACUAUAGUAAGCUUUUAAAACUGAUUAGCUUGAGUGAUGGAAGGGACAGUGGAAUUCCUGGUGUAGUGGUGAAAUGCGCAGAGAUCAGGAAGAAUACCAGUGGCGAAGGCGACUGUCUGGACAUUAACUGACGCUGAGGUACGAAAGCGUGGGGAGCAAACAGGAUCAGAUACCCUGGUAGUCCACGCUGUAAACGAUGAGUGCAAGGUGUUGGGGGUCAAACCUCGGUGCCGCCGUUAACACAGUAAGCACUCCGCCUGGGGAGUACGUACGCA
rnacentral:rRNA from 1 species